GGAAGGAUUCCAGCAGGUGGCAGCGGAACUUGAUGGAGUUUUAAUGGAAUGUUGGUUGCGGCAGAGAAGGAAUGAGGUGAUCCUAGCUUCAGGCAGCCUCCAUUGUUGGAAGAAAGCUAAGAGGUGGAAUAUAGUUGAUGGAAAAGGUGACUUUGGUGAGCAUUUGCUNGGUAGAGAUCAAUUUCAAAAUACAGAAAUUUCUCANAUAUCCCAAAGUGAUUUANAAGCUUAGCCUAUGAGAUUUUAUAGAUCAAUCUCAAGGCCACACAUUUCAGAUCUCAUUCCAACUAAUUAGCCAUGUGCUAAAUGUGUGUGGCUUCUAGAAAGCUUUAUNAAACACAUGUAAAAUAUGCUAGGUGCCUAUGGAAGAGUAAACACUAAUGUCACCCCCUUUUAUGAUAGGCACACCCCUCUUUAUGUAGAAUUAUCCAUUUUACCCUUCACCAUGCUCUUGGGUUGUUCUUUAUUUGGUGGCCUUGUGCCCCGUGUAUCAGUUGGGGUGCAAGAGCAUAACAAAAUUUCAAACCAGAUAACAGAGACAGUCGAAUGUGUGGCGCACAUAGUUGACUUCAACCAUGUAAAACAUUUUGAAAUUCUUUUCUUCACAAAAAUUCACAGAGCACUGAUUCUCAAAAUCUGGACAAAGAUUUUAGCAUAGUUGAGUCCAUUAAUAAUGUAGUCUACUACACUAGAACU
rnacentral:lncRNA from 1 species